CGGAGGAGGUGCUGUCAGCGCAGGCUGAGGGCUGCUCUCCAAGCAAAGUGCCUCCUCUUUUGGGAACCGAGUCCCUCAUUUGGACUCGGGAUCCACAGGAGACUGGAACCUGGACCGCAGGGACCCGACGCUCAGGGACCAUCUGCUACCGGCCCCAGCCCAGAUGAUACAGUUAGAGCCUACCCACAGCAUCCUCCCCGCCUUCAGACAGUUCCAGGAACAGGGGGAUUCUGAAGGGCCCGCCCUUGGCAUUGGCUGAAACGUGGUGGGAGUAUUGAAAACGCUGGACCUGUAACUCCGCAGAGAAGCGCCUCCCCACCUCAACACCAGCACUGUUCUCAAUGUGUGGUGGCCUCUCCCUGCCUGAGAGCUGGUCAUUUUGGCUUCAGGGAGCCAGGUGAGGCAAUGCACGGCCAGCAGGUCAUUUGUCCUCAACAGCGCAGGCUCUGCCGGCUGCGAUUCCAUCACCCCUGGACUAGCAGAACCACUGCCUUUGCAGGAGUCUCAAAGGCCUGGGCUUUUGGGGGUGCUUCUCCGCCACUCCUGACUGCUUCUUUCCCUUCGGGGGCCGUGGCUGGUGCCUGCUGCGGGGUCACUGCGUGACGUGAGCACCGCAGCAUCUCAGGUGCACGAUGGCCCUGAGGUGCCCGGGAGCAGGCAAGGGCCGAGUCUUAACAGCUCCACUUCCUGUCCCCGAGUCUAUCUGCCGCUGCUCUGUAGAGUCCUACAGUUUCUCUGUGGUCAGUUUUCUUACCCAUUUCCUGCCAGCUGCUACUGGUUUUUUAGUCAGCUCUGACAGCUACGGUAAUUGGGAAAGGACGCAGGCUGCUGGGGCCGGGUGAUUCACCAGCUCUGGCCAACAGGGACAAGGAGCACAGACGGAGGCACCCUGUCGGUCCCCCUGGGCCUGGUCCCCCAGGCCUCAAUGAGUGAGACACAGAAAAGACCCAGGGGCACACUCAUUGUGAACCGAAAGCUGAUCUCUGUGCACGCGCGCGUGCAUGCGACAUAAGGGAAUUUUUUUUUU
rnacentral:lncRNA from 1 species